AAUAAGUGCAGUUUUGCACUAUUCACGUUCAACGUUUGACCAUUCGUCUUAUUUGAAAAUUUUUUAUGAUUAGUAUUUUUAUUGCUAUUAGAUGAUAAAACAUGAAUAGUACUUUAUGUGUGACUAAAUAUUUUCAAAUUUUCAUAAAUUUUUCAAAUAAGACGGACGGUCAAAUGUUAGGCACGGAUAUCCACGGCUGCACUUAAU
rnacentral:pre_miRNA from 1 species